rnacentral:lncRNA from 1 species
CUGUGAAGUAUGAAGCAAAGGUAAAAGGCUUGCCCAUAUUAACAGAAAUAGCAAGUGGCAGAGGUAUUCCAGCUCUUAUUUUAACUUUCUUUCUGCAAUAUUUUACCCCUCUGGCCAAAUGAUAGUAUAUCUGUGUAUGAUUUACCUCAGAAAAUUGUGUGGCUGUACACUAAUGCAGUACACAAUUAAUUUUAUGAUGUUAAAUUAAAAAGAAAUGCCAUUCAUCAGACUAUUCCCCCAAAGGACUACUGAAGUUUUAAAAAAUCUUUAGAAAGGAUUCUAAAUCAAUACGAUGUUUAAAGAGUUUAAGCACUCACUGCUGCUUUUCUUGGUCCCCAAGGUCUGGCCAUCUUCUAAAGAGUUUGAACCUACUGAAGAACUAUCUUGACUGUCUUGAUGAGGGAGCUGAAGAAAUCCUUCACUGGAGUCUGAGCGGAAGUGGAAUCUAUUUUCCUUCUUCUUGAAUUUGGAAUGCUUUUGGCCAAGAGAAAGAGGUGGAAGUGAUGGUGUAACAGUUCCAAGUCUAGGCCUCAAGUUGCCUGUGGACUUCCACUCAGACUCUCAGAGCCCUGCUGGAGGAUGGAGAGACCACAUGGAACAGAGAAGGGUUAUCCCACCGAGGCCACCAUAGACCAGCCAGCCCUCAGCGUACAUGCCAGCUAAUUACAGAUGCAGGAGCAAACCCCUGGCCCAUACAUCAGAUUUUGGAAGCAUUGCCUUCUACAGAAUCCACAGUAGUCCGAAGCUCUUCUACGGUUUUUGUCAAACUUUGAUUUUCCAUCUCUAGCUUCAAUAAUCUACUUGAUGUCAACUCAUUCACCUCAUGGCCCAGGGAUUUCUGGGGUGCUAUAAUAUUGAAAAAUACACCAUUGUAUUUACUCUUUACUGUUUUUACUAUGUUUACUCUUUACUAUUUAAAAAGUUGAGUGUAUAUGCAUUGCAUCAUCUGAUCCUUAACUUUAUUAAAAAUUCAAUGAGGUUAUAUAAGAUAAACAAGAUAAAAGAAGUAAAUCUUUUUUUUCCUUUUCUUUUUUUCUUUUUUUUAAAGAGACGGGGUCUCUCUCUGUCACCCAGGCUGGAGUGCAGUGAUGUGCUCCUAGCUCACUGCAGCCUCAAACGCCUGGUCUGAAGGGAUCCUCCCACCUCAGUCUCCCAAGCGGCCGGGACUGCAGGUACAGCCAGCUAAUUUUUUUAUUUUUUAGUAAAGACUGGGUCUCUGUUACUUAGGCUGGUCUCGAACUCCUGAGCUCAAGCAAUCCUCCUGCCUUGGCCUCCCAAAGUGCUGGGAUUACAGGCAUGAGCCGCUGCACCCAGCUAAGAGAUACAUGUUUAACUUUUAAUGCAUCCACAGCAUUCUAGUUAAAAAAAGCAUAAAAUUUAGAUUGAAGAAAUUGGAGUUCAAGCAGACCCAUUAAAUAUUUUGCUGAUAUAAGAACAUUAGGAUUUACAAAUGAAAUAUGAGACCUACUAUUUCAAGAAAGGAAAUGAAUAAAGGUACUGGAGAGAAU